UUCACCAAAAACCGAGCAUGCUCCUCCCGCAGCCUCUGGAACACUGAGACAUAAUUUGUUGCUUAUAAAUAAAAUUUAAAUUGUUCCCUGAAAUUUGUCUUUUAUUCAAUAUUAGAUCAUAAUUUGCUGAUGGACAAAAUUUAGAAAUGAUUUUUAAUCACACUAUAUUUGUAGCUAGGCUUUCUGUUGCAGGGAUAAAAUGUUAUAACUUCAAUACAGGGAUCGAAACCUUUUGUAUAUUCUAAACAGUACCAUCCUUUGUACAUUUCUUUAAGACAUUUAAAAAUUAAAGCUUAAAAAAUUGAAGCUCAGUAUAAAAUUCUGAACCAAAAAACAAACAUCCCACAAUUCCCUGUAUCAUUGAGGGCUAAUCUUGCUCAACUCAUCUUAAUUCAGCAACAUCAUCAAAAUCGUCAAUAAUUAAUAGUAAGAGAAUAGAUAUUUCCCAGGCAUUGAAUUGCACAACUUUUCAAAAACAUGGUCGCAAGGAUAUGUCCAAAAACACAAUAUUGGAGAAUGGGGGAACAUUUACAUGUUGAAGUCAUUGGCAAUAUUGAUUGUAACCUAAACAAGAGGUGUUUGAUUCAAUAUACUAAAAGGGGCUUUACCUCCUUUUUCAAAGCAUCUAUAUGGCGUGGUUGUGCGUAAUGUUCCACAGACCCCCAUCAGCUUUCUGUCUCCAUACAGAGCAUGACCAUUGUCUUAAGCCCCGUUGAAACGCUCUCGACAUUUCACUGAACAUCGCUCAACAUUUGUAGAGUGCAAAUGUUGAGAGCGUUUUAACACCCUGUUCAGUGAUGUUGAGUGGUGUUCAGCAGGGGCGAAACUACCGGGGGGGUGUGGGGGGGUGUGACACCCCCCCAAUCCAAAAAACAGUCGAUUUCGCAGGGCAAUCGAAGAUUUCGCAGGGCGCCAAGAAGAGCUUUAUUGUCACGCAGAAAUGCCACCUCUGAAAUUCGUAAAGAGCCGUUUAGGAAUUUUGAAAUGGAAAUAUCGUAUUUGUUAUGAACCUCCCUUCCUGACAUUGCGUUUUAGAGAACGGAACAGGUAUGUAAGGAAAAGCUCUGUUAUUUGCAAAGCGAAAGCAUUUCUUACCGAAAGUCAUAGCCAAUGGAUGCAAUGAUUGAUGCAUAAGUUUAUAAGGGCAAGGGUGAGUCAUGCCAAUUAAUUUAAGUUGUAAAUUAUUUUCAUGACAAGCACGGCGUCACUGGGGGGGAAUUAGGGGCUGAAGUCCCUCACUUUGGUCAAGAUAGGAAUUUUUAUCAUUUUUUCUAAUACUAUUUAACAGUGCAUGAACUAAAAAACAUAAUAAAUCGUUAAGAUACAGAUUUUGUUUCAUCUAAUUGCUAACUUUUUCACGUUUUUUUUAUUAUUUCUCUUUUAUUUGCAUUAAUUCAGUAAAUCAUUUUCUGUAUCAUUGCAAUGUUUUAAUUUUGGAUGUGUAAACAUGGCCUUCUCGAUACAAGAAACUGCACAUUUCUGUUCAGGAAAAAAAAUCCCCCAAUCAAAACAACAUCUUCCUCUGUCAUUCACAACUGCAUGCAAUCUGAAACGAAAGGUUGCAGUUCCUUUCCCUCCGCAACGUCUAACACUAGAGUUUUAGCAUAACAUCCCCCUCCCUAUUUUUCCCAAUAAGCAAUAAUAUUUUCAAUAAACAAUCAGUUCUUUUAGCACAAUAGUAUUUUGCUAAAUUUUUGUCUGAAAGAUGCUUAUCAGUCCUUUUACAAGGUAUAAUUUCAAAAAAUUUCUUCACGUCGGACCCAACCAUGGUGGGUCCUCCUACCUCACUAAACUCGACUCUUAGCCCCACUGGGCUAAAUUUCAUUGCGCCGUCUACAUCAUGUAAUCCCCCCUCCCCCAAUUAGCUGUUUAUUAGCUUAAUUUUGCAAACCAACAUUAAAUGAAGUGACAAUAAAAAAAAACGAUCUACGCUCAUGUAGAGAAAUAGAAAUUUCAUAGGCAAUGAAGUUUCAAGUUUGUUUUUAUUGCUUAGAAGUUUGUCCCUGGUAAAGACCAGUGUACACUGGUAAAGCCUUUACUAGUAACCUAUAGACAAACCGUUGCUACGAGGUCUGCAGGGCAUCACUUAGUUUUGCAGGGCAGAAACGCUUUUCACCCCCCCAAAACUAUUGGCCAAGUUACGCCCCUGGUGUUCAGCGGUGUUCAGCGAUGUUGAGUGGAGUUUGAACAGAUUCAAAAAUGUUUAGCGGGUCGACUCAACAUUUCUAUUGUUAAAGGUGUUGUUGAGAGAUGUUGAGAGCGUUUUAACACCCCAUACAACAAUGUUCAGUCGGCGCAAGCGCACUAGACUUGGCUUUUGCGCGCCAAAGAAAGGCUUCAGCGUGUCAAGAUUUCAGAUCAGACCAAGAGGUUGAGAGAAGAUGAAUUUUAUAAAUCGUAAUGGCACACCAUGACAAACGCUUGGAAACAGUUGGCAGUGAAAGCAAAUCGGAUGAGAUAGCAAUUCAAAGCAUGUUGCAAGACCAAAUUCCUGACCUUAGGAAAUCAUCAGGCAGCUACUGUUAAAGUGAAAGAGUAUCUGAAGUUCAUCUUCCAAACUUGUCUUUGAUCUCUGAGAGUCCGAAGUUCACCGCUCAACAAAUGUUGCGUUGAAUUGUUGAGAGCGUUUUAACACCCCAAUUCAACAUCACUAAACAUCACUAAACAUCACUGUACAAAUGUUGAGCGAUGUUCAGUGAAAUGUUGAGAGCGUUUUAACGGGGCUUUAGAGCCAACUUUGUUUUGUCCAAUCUAGGUUCUCUAUUCUGCGCAUAACCUGGAUAAGCCUUACGAUGAAUGCUUUUGUUAAAACGUUUGAGGCCACACAGCAGAUUUGCCACUGCUUUCUUAUUUGAUACCGAUGAUGCCAUAGCAAUAGAGUUGGCAGAAAGAGUUAAUCUUUUCUGUUAAUGAGACAUGAUUUCCCCAGGUGGAUGCUUUUGUUAAAACGUUUGAGGCCACACAGCAGAUUUGCCACUGCUUUCUUAUUUGUUACCGAGGUUGCAAUAGCAAUAGAGUUGGCAGAAAGAGUUAAUCUUUUCUGUUAAUGAGACAUGAUUUCCCCAGGUGGAUGCUUUUGUUAAGACGUUUCAGGCCACACAGCAGAUUUGCCACUGCUUUCAUAAUAUUCCUUUUUGUUACCGAUGAUGCCAUAGCAAUAGAGUUGGCAGAAAGAGUUAAUCUUUUCUGUUAAUGAGACAUGAUUUCCCCAGGUGGAUGCUUUUGUUAAGACGUUUCAGGCCACUCAGCAGAUUUGCCACUGCUUUCAUAAUAUUCUUAUUUGUUACCGAUGAUGCCAUAGCAAUAGAGUUGGCGCAAACAGUUAAUCUUAUCCUUUUAAUGAGAUAUGGCUUAUGAAAUGAGCUUGUGAGUGAAUUAUCAAAAUCUGGGAAUAUUGUAAUACUGCCGUUUGUCUCGCCCUGCAAAUCUCGUGAAAAGAUUUUCUUUUAUUCCAUUCAUUCUAUUUUCUCAUGUUCGUCACAGUUGAUUAUCAGUAUUUCUUUGUAAUAUUGCACCACACUUGUAAUCGCGUCUCUGUUAACAAACGCAUUUAGGAAGAAACACUCUGGGAUAAUUAGACACAACCUGUAUUCAUGUUACCAUUCGAACACUGCCAUUAACAUUACAUUAUAUACGCUAAUUUUUUAUAAAAAACAAAGGUCGAUGUUGAGUACUCAAGUUUCUUAUUGUUUUGGAAAUUUCAAUACUCUCAUUGUAUUAUGGCAUUGUUUUUGCAAAAUUCCAAUUAGUUUAGAAGUUAUAAGGCCUUAAAGUUGCACCUUUCAGAGAAAAAAACGACAAAAACCGAAUCAGUUUGGUGACAUUCUGACGUCACAGUGUGCGGCUCUCGUUCGCCAUGAAUUUCGUAUAUCUUCCACCGAAUCGUGAAGGAGUCAUGGUCACGCGUUUUCAUAACUGCAUCUAAAUCUAGAGCAGGAGCUUUUUAGGAUCGAAAAGUAUUAAAUGUUUACAAUCAUUCUAAGUUUGCGGAUCGGAAUGUGUCCAUGCCGUGUCACGACUUUGUUUUGAACAGGCGGACAGCCUAUCAUGCGGUUCUUCCUUCUCACACUUUGUUUUGAACACCUGUGUAGGCCCACAAAGCUAAGGCUUCAUGUUCCAGCUCUUCCCUCGCGUAUAAUUAAUCGAAAUUGACACUUCAGCAGUGGCGAAGCUAGCGGUCAUGCUGAUCAUGACUAAAAUUUUCAGAGCUAAAGACAUUUAUUAUAAAGAUUUUCUUUAUUGAAAAAGUACUUUCAAAACCCCUUUCGUCCAGUUUAUUCUUAUUAUUCUACUGCCCUUCCCCACCUUGGUCCCUUGUGGUUAGUCAUGCUCAUUCUCAAGAGCAUGACCUGCCAUAGGGUUUCUUUACACAGAGAGCCCCACCGCUCCUGUGAGUCGGCUGAGUUUCAAUGACUUUUCAGUUGGUAUCCCUGUGGUAAGUCAUGCUCAUUUGGAAUAGCAUGACCUCGUCAUUAUAAUCAUAAACCUAGCACUGACUUGAUUGGCUGAAUUCUAUCUUGCGCAUGAUAUUUUGGCCCGUUUUGGACCCCAAGUCAUGCUCAAUUUUUUUCAGCAUGACCGACCUAAAUCUUCCAUACAUGUUUUAAAAUCAGGAGUUUUACGCACAGAAACAAGCGAUUGAAGAUAAAUUCAUCCAUAACAUAACGGCGAUUACAACUCGAACGAAAACUUAGACGAAGUAAAUUCUUACAGCUCACAGCAUGACAGCGUGCAAUUAAAGCGGAAGUAAACGUAAUUGUUCGUAACUAAACAAUAGCUCUAUUUUUUGUAUAUUCUAACAACAUGAAGUACCUAAGGUCUACUUCUGAGCUGAGAAACAUUGCUGCAAGGGAGUGGGGAAACUCAAUCGAAGCUAUUUCCGAGAUAUAUAUUGUUUAUUAACUGCUACACAGACCUUCCAAGUCUCGCGCAUUUCGCCUUCAACUCACGCUCACACGCAUCCAUGGAGAAUUCUCACACAUUCUACUAAACUUUUUUGGUGUCUUCAAAUUUUUCAUUUUGUUUUUCAAACUCCAGCCUAAACCUUUGUUUCUAAAAAGGUUUGGCUACGGGAUGGAAAAUGACACCCAGUAGGGAGGCGAACAUAGCAAAGCGGACCCGACCUAUAAGGUAUUUGCUCAGUGUGACAAAGGGAAGUGCCAUAGAAAUAGUAGAGCUAGAAUGCGCGCUCUAUUGUUCGCCUAUUGUUUCCUGCGUAAUACCAAUGGGCAGCAAAGAUGGUAGCAACAUGUUGGCAAAAAGCUUUUGUGGCGUACGUUGUACACAAAUAAGAAGUUAUGGAAUUACCGAUUCUACGUGGUGAUAUGAGGAGAAAAAUUUCAUGAAAACUUUCCAGCGCCAAAAUAGAAGAAGAGUGCAAGAACAUACUCCCAAGAUAUUAUUUGUCCAGCUGGGGUACAAAAGAUCUUGAUGGUGGAAAAGGCAUUUCUUGCAAGCUUCAGCAUGUGGCAGGUAUCAAGAAUUACAAAGAUAUUUUCACUGGGGUUUGAUGGAUAUGGAAAUAAUGUGCAAAGGUUUUUUAUAUCACAUCCAAGUUUCUCAGCCAUGCUAACAUUCUUAAGAGCACAAUCAAAGAUGACUGCAUGAACUUUAGCUUCCCUUCUAGCAAGGAGGUUAAUUGCUUCACUUAUGAGCUGUUUCAAUAUUUUUGCAUUUAGGGUUAUUUGUUAAAAAGUACCCAAUAGGGACAUAUCAUGGUAUUUCUUCAGGUCAGUAGUUUUUCGCAACCACCCCCCCUCCCCACCCCUGCUUAUUAUAAUCCAGUAUAAAAAAAACAGAAUAGGAAUGGAAAUGUUACCCCAUCUAUGGAUUUCCUCAUGAACUCAUUAAAUAAAGAGAUAUAUGGUUCCACAUAUUUAAGUAUGUAUUUACUGAAAUACAUAAGAAUACGUUCAUGUUCCCCCUUCCACCAAAGUUUGUUAGGAAAUUUUGCUACAAUAUAAGAAAUUGUAGGAGAAUUUAUCUUCGGCAGCCGAGUAAAUUCACCUAUUGCACCCUCUUUGAGGAAUUAAUGCCACGAACCAUAAGAUGACUUUUAAUUUGGUUCACUGCCCUCCCGAUUUUAUGUACCUACUGUCUGUUUGUAAACAUAGUAGAAAUAUCAAUGAUGAAAAUCAUUUCGAAUAGUUAAUAAAAGUAUCAUAGAAUUUUUGGAAGAUAUUUUUUUCUAUUCAAAUUCCUAUCAAGAAUAACGAGAAACACAGUACACACAGCGGGCCUACUUACUUGUAGAACGAUAUGUUUGUUUGACCGGGAAGCAAGUCUUUUUUAGGAAUCCAUCGAUUCUGGCAGCCGAAAACAGCACACGACACUACCAUUUCUUUUAUCAAAGUUCGAUUAUCAUUCAAUGUUAGCAACAGUGUAUUAGAUUAAUUAGAAAUUCAAGCGCGUAUACGGUGACAGGGGUAGGCAAUACUGUCCGCUGUGA